UACGGAGGGGGCUAGCGUUGUUCGGAAUUACUGGGCGUAAAGCGCACGUAGGCGGCUUUGUAAGUUAGAGGUGAAAGCCCGGAGCUCAACUCCGGAAUUGCCUUUAAGACUGCAUCGCUAGAAUUGUGGAGAGGUAAGUGGAAUUCCGAGUGUAGAGGUGAAAUUCGUAGAUAUUCGCAAGAACACCAGUGGCGAAGGCGGCUCACUGGCCCGAUACUGACGCUGAGGCACGAAGCGUGGGAGCCAACAGG
rnacentral:rRNA from 1 species